rnacentral:rRNA from 1 species
GUGAAUAUACCGGUACUCGUUAGAUCACCGAAGUCAAGCAUCAUUGGGGUGGUCAGUACUUGGGUGGGUGACCACCUGGGAACACCGCGUGCCGUU